rfam:Theileria equi strain WA gcontig_1105316255047 apicoplast, whole genome shotgun sequence.
GGUUUACUAGCUUAAUAUGGUAAAGUAAUCGUUUUUUAAUCGAUAAGACUCUGGGUUCAAGUCCCAGGUAAAUCA